UAUCAGUAAAAUAAGUGACUCAGGUUGCUGCUUUCUUGGCCACCUUUACAAAGAGUGAAUGCUUCUUGCAGCUAUAUUUCCUUCACUAUCUCAGAACAACAACAUUAACCAGAACCUAACCUGAAAUGGUCUUGUGAAUAGCACUGCUCCCAUCUUUCAGAGUACAAGCCAGGUUAACGUUUCAUGAAGGAGAUAAUGAGGACCACCUAGAGAGUCAUCAAACAAAGAAACUUCCAGAAGCGCAUUUAAAAGUUUCCUUCUCUGCUUGCCCCUUUUAGGCAACAGAAUAGCCUUUCUACUUCUGUUUUUGGGGGAAAAAAAAAAUAAAAGACUGCGGUUCAAAAUAAUCUAAGCAACUUCGGUGAGCAUAUGUGUCGGGGGGAUUUAUUUAACAAAAAUGAAAUGGCUCUGUGGAACAAAAAAUAUUUGAACAUAAAUUUCAAAGGAUGUUUUGCAGAUAAUGGGUUUGUGCUUCACAGUCUAGCAAUUUGCACUGUUUAGUGGCACAAUAGUAAGGUAAAUCUACAGGUCAGAUGCAGCUUUGGAUAAAGCACAUGGAGAUUGUCUUUUACGUAUUUGUUUUCAAAGUUACAUAUACAUUGUUUGCAUUUCCCAGCUUUUGCCAAUAUUUAAAAAGUUGGCAGCCAAAUAAUUAACUUUUU